AACGAACGUUAGCGGCGCGCUUAACACAUGCAAGUCGAGCGGGCGUAGCAAUACGUCAGCGGCAGACGGGUGAGUAACGCGUGGGAACGUACCUUUUGGUUCGGGAUAACCCAGGGAAACUUGGGCUAAUACCGGAUAAGCCCUUACGGGGAAAGAUUUAUCGCCGAAAGAUCGGCCCGCGUCUGAUUAGCUAGUUGGUGAGGUAACGGCUCACCAAGGCGACGAUCAGUAGCUGGUCUGAGAGGAUGAUCAGCCACAUUGGGACUGAGACACGGCCCAAACUCCUACGGGAGGCAGCAGUGGGGAAUAUUGGACAAUGGGCGCAAGCCUGAUCCAGCCAUGCCGCGUGAGUGAUGAAGGCCCUAGGGUUGUAAAGCUCUUUUGUGCGGGAAGAUAAUGACGGUACCGCAAGAAUAAGCCCCGGCUAACUUCGUGCCAGCCG
rnacentral:rRNA from 1 species